CGUCUUGGACUUUGCUGGGCCGA
rnacentral:siRNA from 1 species